rnacentral:sRNA from 1 species
UCAGGCGUCUCUUUGGCCUUUUCCUGCUACAUGGAGAUAGCCCUUGGGGGCACAUGUAGACAGGAGCACACAUAAAGCUACACAGAUAGGAAGAACAGAAGGCCUCACUCAGAAUGUUGUUGUCCAUAAAGGGUGGUAGGCUAGCAAGAGGGGCACAACAUUGACAAGGAAUGACCUAGAUAGGUGCACACCGAGAGAGAGGUUCUCCAAGUCAGCUGAGCCCAAAGGUCCUUGUUUUCUGUCCCCACAUGGAUCAGGCCAAUGUGACUGGUACUGUGAAGCUGUCCAAGGUGAUGGGAGAAUGCAGAACGCAGGCGCAUGUCAUACAGCUGUUCAUGGCAAGUGCUUCCAACCCUGCUUGCUGCUCUGCAGGUCGGUCCGUGUCACUGGCAAAUGCCAAGAUUUUGUAACUUUGACACUUUUGUGGACCUCAGUUGACAGGAGGUCUUCAUCUUUUCCUCCUGGUUGCCUGACGUCAGCUGUUCCAUAAGUGCUCUAGAGCCUCGUGGCUUCUGAGUCUCUUUAGUCAUU